rnacentral:rRNA from 1 species
UAACAAGGAUUCCCCUAGUACUGCGAGUGAAGCGGGAAAAAGCUCAAAUUUAAAAUCUGGCGGCCUUGCUGUCCGAAUUGUAAUCUGGAGAAGCAUUUUCUGUGUCAGACCGUGUACAAGUCUCUUGGAAUAGAGCGUCAUAGAGGGUGAGAAUCCCGUCCAUGACACGGACCGCUGAUGCUUUGUGAUAUGCUCUCAAAGAGUCGAGUUGUUUGGGAAUGCAGCUCAAAAUGGGUGGUAAAUUCCAUCUAAAGCUAAAUAUUGGCGAGAGACCGAUAGCGAACAAGUACCGUGAGGGAAAGAUGAAAAGCACUUUGGAAAGAGAGUUAAACAGUACGUGAAAUUGUUGAAAGGGAAACGCUUGAAGUCAGUCGCGUUGCUUGGGACUCAGCCUUGCUUUGCAUGGUGUACUUCCCAUUCAACGGGUCAACGUCAAUUUUGGUUGGUGGAUAAAGACUUAGGGAAUGUGGCACCUUCGGGUGUGUUAUAGCCCUUUGUUGCAUACACUGACUGGGAUUGAGGACUGCAGCACGCCACUAUGGCCGGGGGUUUACCUCACGUAACGUGCUUAGGAUGUUGGCACAAUGGCUUUAAGCGACCCGUCUUGAAACACGGACCAAGGAGUCUAACAUGCUUGCGAGUGUUAGGGUGGAAAACCCUUGCGCGUAAUGAAAGUGAAAGUUGGGACCUCUUCUGAGGGCACCGACGCCCGGCCCUGAAGUUUACUGACGGUGCUGCGGUAGAGCACGUAUGUUGGGACCCGAAAGAUGGUGAACUAUGCCUGAAUAGGGUGAAGCCAGGGGAAACUCUGGUGGAGGCUCGUAGCGAUUCUGACGUGCAAAUCGAUCGUCGAAUUUGGG